rnacentral:misc_RNA from 1 species
GAUGAAGAACGCAGCGAAAUGCGAUAAGUAAUGUGAAUUGCAGAAUUCAGUGAAUCAUCGAAUCUUUGAACGCACAUUGCGCCCGCCAGUAUUCUGGCGGGCAUGCCUGUUCGAGCGUCAUUUCAACCCUCAGGCCCCCAGUGCCUGGUGUUGGGGAUCGGCCCAGCCUUCCUGUAAGGCCGCCGGCCCCGAAAUCUAGUGGCGGUCUCGCUGUAGUCCUCCUCUGCGUAGUAGCACAGCCUCGCAGUUGGAACGCGGCGGUGGCCAUGCCGUUAAACACCCCACUUCUGAAAGUUGACCUCGGAUCAGGUAGGAAUACCCGCUGAACUUAAGCAUAUCAAUAAGCGGAGGA